rnacentral:rRNA from 1 species
GAUGAACGCUGGCGGCGUGCCUAAUACAUGCAAGUCGAGCGAACAGACGCGGAGCUUGCUCCUCUCACGUUAGCGGCGGACGGGUGAGUAACACGUGGAUAACCUACCUAUAAGACUGGGAUAACUUCGGGACACCGGAGCUAAUACCGGAUAAUAUAUUGAACCGCAUGGUUCAAUAGUGAAAGACGGUUUUGCUGUCACUUAUAGCUGGAUACGCGCCGGAUUGGCUAGUUGGUAGGGUAACGGCUUACCAAGGCAACGAUGCGUAGCCGACCGGAGAGGGGGAUCGGCGACACUGGAACUGGGACACGGUCAUGACGCCUAAGGUAGGCAGCAGUAGGGAAUCGGCCGCAAUGGGCGAAAGCCUGACGGAGCGACGCCGCGUGAGUGAUGACAGUCUUCGGAGCGGAAAACUCGGUUAUUAGUGAAGAACAAAUGUGUAAGUAACUAUGCACGGCUUGACGGUACCUAAUCAGAAAGCCACGGCUAACUACGUG